CCAUCGGGAUUACCCCUCUGUCACCCCCCCACCCCGCCCCGGCCCCGCCGCUCUUUUUUUGCUGCCUUUCAGCAACAGCGACUCAGUUUACACUGUUUAUAAAACAUACUCUUUAAGAAAAGGUCCUGAUGUUAAAAAAGGGGGGGAGGGAAUGUCACGAAGUCAUUUUCACUAUGUAUGUGUUCUGUCUUCUUAAUUGGAUUUGAAGACCUGAAGUUCUCUUUUUCUUUUCUUUUUCUUUUUUUAGUAGCCCCAAGUGCCCUGCAUUUGCUCUUCUAACAAAGUUCUGUUUGUUGACGGACUGACCGGCUUACCGACACAAAGAUGGGAAGCAAAUGGAGAGACGGAUCAAGGCCCUUCCUCGGCAUCUGGAGGAAGCUUGGGCGAGUGUCUUGGUCGCCAGCCCCGGCUUGGCUCGGGAGCAGGUCUGGCAACAGCGGCAGCUUCUCCGCUGCAGGCUCCGGAUCCGGGAGGUGUGGAUCCGCCCUCCAUCUAUUGGAUGGCUCCCAGGCCAAUUGUUAGAAAGAGGCAUAUGUUCAUCUCGGCUUCUGGAGUGUCUCCGGAGCAGUUGCUCAACAGCCAGCCCCCUCCCCCAUCCGGACCAUUGAAGGGCAGAAAAAGGAGCGCCCUCCACCACAUUUCUCUGUGCCCACAUGCCAGAAAGGGUCUCCCCCCUGGUGACUUCCUGUCAUCUCCACUGCUUACCUCCUGGGGAGCAGGAACGAGAGGGGCUUCAAGCACUCAGCUUUGAAGCACAAAAGCCACCCCUUUCCUUUUUGGGGAGAUGGGAGAGGAGGUUAGUUGCAGAGGCUGAGAGGGAGCAAAGGAGACAUUUGCAUUUCUCGGCAAAAAUGCUCUGAUCACUGACUUCCCCGUUGGCUCCAGCAGAGCUCAGAGCUCUCCGCUGAACUCUUAUCUCCAACUUGGCAACUAGACCGCGAGCUUGCGAAGCAAGGAGAGGACAGGGAUGGUCACCUACCGAGAACCUCUGUGCUCCAGCGCUGGGCCUGGCAUGUUCCCCAUCCAUCAUCUCAUUUAAUUCCCAGGACAGCCCUUUGAGGUAGGGUUUACCAAAGGUGAAUGAAACAGAGCCUCGGGAAAUUGCCCAAGUUCACAUAGCCACGUGGCUGAGUGUUUGAAUCUGGAUCAGGCUGUCUGCAAAGUUUUUACCCUCAGCCCUAAUCCCCGCUGCCUAGGAGGGUAAGGAGGCUGUCUAGAGUGCAGGUUCAGGGGUCAGUAGGCCUGGGUUUAAAUUCCUACUUUGCCAUUUGUUAGCGGUGAAGUCUUAGGCCAAUGGCUUCAUGCUUUGGUCUUCAAUUUUCCCAUCUGUUAAAUGGGGAUAACAAUGGUACCUAAUCUGUGGGGGUUGCUUAGCCUGAUUGGUGCCCGCAGUGUAGUAAAUGGCCAAUAAAUGCUGUUAUCGUACUGGACCUUCUGAUUAUUUUCCUUUUGCCUCCCGU
rnacentral:lncRNA from 10 species